rnacentral:ncRNA from 1 species
AUUUAUCUCAUGGGGUGUGGCAUCUAGCUGCUGAGAAACCAUUAUUGGUUAACCCACUGAACCUGAACCAGAUCAUGCUGGCGUAGGAAUUGAGAUAGCAAGCCCUU